CGUUGGCGUCGUCGAGGCGGGCGCGUACCGCAGCCAGCGGCAGCGGCGCGUCGGAGGCCACGAUGAGGAAGUUGGCGCCCCGCUCGCCGGCCAACGCC
rnacentral:tRNA from 1 species